GACGAACGCUGGCGGCGUGCUUAACACAUGCAAGUCGAACGGAAAGGCCCUGCUUUUGUGGGGUGCUCGAGUGGCGAACGGGUGAGUAACACGUGAGUAACCUGCCCUUGACUUUGGGAUAACUUCAGGAAACUGGGGCUAAUACCGGAUAGGAGCUCCUGCUGCAUGGUGGGGGUUGGAAAGUUUCGGCGGUUGGGGAUGGACUCGCGGCUUAUCAGCUUGUUGGUGGGGUAGUGGCUUACCAAGGCUUUGACGGGUAGCCGGCCUGAGAGGGUGACCGGCCCCAUUGGAACUGGGAUACGGCCAGGACUCCUCCGGGGGGAAGCAGUGGGGAAUAUUGCACAAUGGGCGGAGGCCUGAGGCACCAACGCCGGGUGCGGGAGGACGGCCUUCGGGUUGUAAACCGCUUUCGCCUGUGACGAAGCGUGAGUAACGGUAAUGGGUAAAGAAGCACCGGCUAACUACGU
rnacentral:rRNA from 1 species